rnacentral:rRNA from 1 species
AGCAGUCGCCACGGUAAUACGGAGGGGGCUAGCGUUGUUCGGAAUUACUGGGCGUAAAGCGCACGUAGGCGGCUUGGUAAGUUAGAGGUGAAAGCCUGGAGCUCAACUCCAGAAUUGCCUUUAAGACUGCCGAGCUAGCAGGUGAGAGAGGUAAGUGGAAUUCCGAGUGUAGAGGUGAAAUUCGUAGAUAUUCGGAAGAACACCAGUGGCGAAAGCGGCUCACUGGACCAUUUCUGACGCUGAUGCACGAAAGCUAGGGGAGCAAACAGGAUUAGAUACCCGAGUAGUCCCUGUCUCUUAUAA